rnacentral:rRNA from 1 species
GAUGAACGCUAGCUACAGGCUUAACACAUGCAAGUCGAGGGGUAGCAGGGUAGCAAUACCGCUGACGACCGGCGCACGGGUGAGUAACACGUAUCCAACCUUCCCAUAACUCGGGGAUAGCCUUUCGAAAGAAAGAUUAAUACCCGAUAGUACUUUUUCAAGGCAUCUUGAGAAAGUUAAAGAUUUAUUGGUUAUGGAUGGGGAUGCGUUCCAUUAGAUAGUUGGUGAGGUAACGGCUCACCAAGUCUUCGAUGGAUAGGGGUUCUGAGAGGAAGGUCCCCCACAUUGGUACUGAGACACGGACCAAACUCCUACGGGAGGCAGCAGUGAGGAAUAUUGGUCAAUGAGCGAGAGCCUGAACCAGCCAAGUAGCGUGAAGGAUGGAGGUCCUAUGGAUUGUAAACUUCUUAUAUAGUAGAAUAAAGUGACCUACGUGUAGGUUUUUGUAUGUAUACUAUGAAUAAGGAUCGGCUAACUCCGUGCCAGCCGCCGCGGUAA